GACGAACGCUGGCGGCGUGCCUAAUACAUGCAAGUAGAACGCUGAAGAGAGGAGCUUGCUCUUCUUGGAUGAGUUGCGAACGGGUGAGUAACGCGUAGGUAACCUGCCUUGUAGCGGGGGAUAACUAUUGGAAACGAUAGCUAAUACCGCAUAACAAUGGAUGACACAUGUCAUUUAUUUGAAAGGGGCAAUUGUUCCACUACAAGAUGGACCUGCGUUGUAUUAGCUAGUAGGUGAGGUAAUGGCUCACCUAGGCGACGAUUCAUAGCCGACCUGAGAGGGUGAUCGGCCACACUGGGACUGAGACACGGCCCAGACUCCUACGGGAGGCAGCAGUAGGGAAUCUUCGGCAAUGGGGGCAACCCUGACCGAGCAACGCCGCGUGAGUGAAGAAGGUUUUCGGAUCGUAAAGCUCUGUUGUAAGUCAAGAACGGGUGUGAGAGUGGAAAGUUCACACUGUGACGGUAGCUUACCAGAAAGGGACGGCUAACUACGUG
rnacentral:rRNA from 1 species